GUAAGGAAUAUUGGUCAAUGGGCGGAAGCCUGAACCAGCCAUGCCGCGUGCAGGAAGACGGCCCUACGGGUUGUAAACUGCUUUUAUACGGGAAUAAACCUCGUUAUGUAUAACGAGCUGAAUGUACUGUAAGAAUAAGGAUCGGCUAACUCCGUGCCAGCAGCCGCGGUAAUACGGAGGAUCCGAGCGUUAUCCGGAUUUAUUGGGUUUAAAGGGUGCGUAGGUGGCCUGUUAAGUCAGGGGUGAAAGACGGUAGCUCAACUAUCGCAGUGCCCUUGAUACUGACGGGCUUGAAUGAACUAGAGGUAGGCGGAAUGUGACAAGUAGCGGUGAAAUGCAUAGAUAUGUCACAGAACACCAAUUGCGAAGGCAGCUUACUAUGGUUUGAUUGACACUGAGGCACGAAAGCGUGGGGAUCAAACAGG
rnacentral:rRNA from 1 species